rnacentral:rRNA from 1 species
GAUGAACGCUGGCGGCGUGCCUAAUACAUGCAAGUCGAGCGAACAGACGAGGAGCUUGCUCCUCUGACGUUAGCGGCGGACGGGUGAGUAACACGUGGAUAACCUACCUAUAAGACUGGGAUAACUUCGGGAAACCGGAGCUAAUACCGGAUAAUAUAUUGAACCGCAUGGUUCAAUAGUGAAAGACGGUUUUGCUGUCACUUAUAGAUGGAUCCGCACCGCAUUAGCUAGUUGGUAAGGUAACGGCUUACCAAGGCAACGAUGCGUAGCCGACCUGAGAGGGUGAUCGGCCACACUGGAACUGAGACACGGUCCAGACUCCUACGGGAGGCAGCAGUAGGGAAUCUUCCGCAAUGGGCGAAAGCCUGACGGAGCAACGCCGCGUGAGUGAUGAAGGUCUUCGGAUCGUAAAACUCUGUUAUAGGGAAGAACAAAUGUGUAAGUAACUAUGCACGUCUUGACGGUACCUAAUCAGAAAGCCACGGCUAACUACGUG